UGACUGAUGACUGACUGACUGACUGACUGACUGACUGGUGGGAUAGAAACAGGCUGACUGACUGACUGACUGACUGACUGACUGACUGGUGGGAUAGAAACAGGCUGACUGACUGACUGACUGACAGACUGACUGACUGACUGGUGGGAUAGAAACAGGCUGACUGACUGACUGACUGACUAGACUGACUGACUGGUGGGAUAGAAACUGACUGACUGACUGGAGGGAUAGAAACAGGCUGACUGACUGACUGACUGGUGGGAUAGAAACUGACUGACUGACUGACUGACUGACUGGAGGGAUAGAAACAGGCUGACUGACUGGAGGGAUAGAAACAGGCUGACUGACUGGACUGGGAUAGAAACAGACUGACUGACUGACUGACUGGUGGGAUAGAAACAGACUGACUGACUGACUGGUGGGAUAGAAACAGACUGACUGACUGACUGGUGCCAUACAUAGUCAUGAUCUGGUCAAUUGACUGACCUAAGCUGUUCUCACCUUAUCAAUAUGACUCCAACCUGUUCUCACCUUAUCAAUAUGACUCCAACCUGUUCUCACACGUGGGAUUGAACUGAACAAUGCUGUGUAUCUGAAAUGGCACCCUGUACGGUGCACUACCCUGGUCAAAAGUAGUGCACUACAUAGGGAAUAAGGUGCAAUUUGGGACUUAUCCUGUGUGUUCACUUUGUUUUAGGGCCAGGAGUUUUUCUGAUUGCCUCGUAACCUGGCCAGGAGUCUUUGGUCCAGGGUAUGUUUAGGACCUGGUCACGCCUUGGGUUUCAUCUCAAAAGGUACCUUAUUCCCUAUAAAGGGCACUACUUUUAACCAGGGCCUGUGGUUGUGGUCUAAAGUGGUGCACUAUAUAGGGAAUAUGGUGCCAUUUGGGAAUAACUCUGGGGCCCCUAUGUUAAAGGUAACGUCUCAUGUUGUUGGUGUUCUUGUAUGUUCAUUACAAACCACACGGAAGAAAACUACCUUGGUUUCUGUUGCAAAGCGUUUUUUCUGAUGAACACAACCCAGGAUAAAAUUAAACCUCUUGUCAUAAAGCGUUUUUUUCUGAUGAACACAACCCAGGAUAAAAUUAAACCUCUUGUCAUAAAGCGUUUUUUUCUGAUGAACACAACCCAGGAUAAAAUUAAACCUCUUGUCAUAAAGCGUUUUUUCUGAUGAACACAACCCAGGAUAAAAAUUAAACCUCUUGUCAUAAAGCGUUUUUUCUGAUGAACACAACCCAGGAUACAAUUAAACCUCUUGUCAAUUCCAUUAAGUUACUUUUCUUUUUACCAGCGCUUUAUUUACCAGAGUAAUGAUGUUAAAAACUGUUUCACAGGGCGUUGUUGCUUAUGUUUGUAACCUGACGGUGAAAGCACAGCGGUCCCCAUCUGCUACCAGUCUUUAGUAUAAUAUAAUAAUAAUAUAAUAAUAAUAAUAAUAAGUCUUUAGUGGGCAAACCACCGGUGUUGUCAGAUAAACAGAAAGUCAUAUUCUGAUUUUAAUUUUUUUUUAAACAACAGAUUUUGUACUUGUCGAUGACAACCAGAAAUGAAAUGUCUGAGUACGGCGGAAAUGUAGUUCAGUGGAAAAACGUUCUAUUAAAAUGUUUCCUAUCAAGUCACAAAGCGGCUAAAGAAACUGAAUGCAAGAAACAGUUGCCUUUUUUUUUUUACCACAGAUUCUUCACCAAAUAUGAGAAUUGUUUUUAUUUUAUUUUAAUUAAAUGAUCAGUUUUUAUCUUUC